rnacentral:rRNA from 1 species
GAUGAACGCUAGCGGCAGGCUUAACACAUGCAAGUCGAACGGUAACAUGAUUAGCUUGCUAAUUGAUGACGAGUGGCGCACGGGUGCGUAACGCGUAUGCAACCUACCUCUAACUGGGAGAUAGCCCGGAGAAAUUCGGAUUAAUACCCCAUAAUAUGUGUCUUUUGCAUAUUAGACAUAUUAAAGCUUUGGCGGUUCGAGAUGGGCAUGCGUGACAUUAGCUAGUUGGUAAGGUAACGGCUUACCAAGGCUACGAUGUCUAGGGGGUCUGAGAGGAUUAUCCCCCACACUGGUACUGAGACACGGACCAG